UAUAAAAAUUAAAAUUCUACUGAAACGUUAUGUCAAGAUACAUACACAAUAAUGGUAAACCGUUAAGCUUUGACUGCAAACAAUAUUAUGAAAUAGUAAGGGAGGGCAUUUUUAUUGAAAAAUUCCGUCAAACUCGAUUGUGUGCAAUGUCGUUUUCCUUGACUAUAUUAUGUAAUUGUAUUGUUUUGUAUUAAAUGCACAGUUAUUGAUGAGUCCAGUAUGAGUAUUUACCGUAUGGACAUCGUGUGUGCGACACAAAAUGACCGACAAUAAUAUUAUGUUGGUAAUAAUAUUUUUUAUGACGUCUGUGUUGACCGUUUUCAGUCAACCGAAUUUUCAGUCACAGCUAUGGGUUACGAAAAUUUUGUCCGAUACCUUAGACGAAUACACCCCUGACGGAGGGAUAGUUUGCAAACGUCACGGACUGGAGUAUCGAGAAGGAUUGAGAGACCUUAAACUGUGGGCGACUCAAAUGUAUGACGCAUCAUCUAAAUUUCCUACGGGGAUCUUAGCUGGGAGAUCUUAUGACUUUGGAAAUUUUGACGAAUGUUUAAAAACUGUUACUACUGGUUUGGAUUUAAGUCCUCAAUAUUGUAUUAUAAGCAUUCGUUUUUUACCUACUACAAAAUUGUAUCCACAUUAUUACAACAUCACACAUUCUAAUCUAAAUUCAACAGGCUCUGUGUGGGAGUCCACAAAGAAUGAGUCUGGUUUGAUGAAAAUACAACGCAACGAAAUCAAUACAGCACUCUGUAUACCUUCGUCAUGUUCACAUUCAGAUAUACAGACAACAUUAUCACCCAAAAUAAUUUCUGAAUUUUAUAAGCACCAAAUUAUGACCACUGUUACUGUGAAUUCAAUUUAUUGUACUACUCAACAAGAACUCCAGCCACCAAAGUUAUUGGGAUAUCGGAUAUUUUGGAUAGUUCUAUUAAUUAUUAUAUUAUUGACGAUCGUCGGAUCACUAUGUGACAUAUACAAAGAGGAAGAAAAUCAAUAUAAUAAUUACAAAUCAUUUUUCAUGGCAUUUUCAUUUCCGGCUAAUAUAAAACGUUUAUUUUUGGCCAGCAAUAAAACCGAAAAUCUAUCUUGUAUUGACAUUUUAAAGACUCAUGCAUGCGUUUUGAUCAUAUUUGGACAAAGAAUGUUGUACAGUUCUGGUCAACCACUACAAAACCCUAAAAAGCUUGACGAGAUAGCCUUACAUUUAAUGUAUGCUAUGAUUCACAAUGGAUCAUUGGUCGUCGAUUUCUUUUUUGUCAUCAGCGGUUUCCUUACUUUUUAUUUUCUUUAUGAUGAACUAGUCAACACAAAAAUCAUAAAUGUUCCAUUACUCUUAUUAUGGAGAUGGUUAAGAUUAAUGCCUGUAUAUGGUUUAAUGAUAGCGUUUCAUACAUUUGUCUUAUUACACUUGGCUAAUGGACCAUUAUGGAAAAAAAUAGCUAUUCAAGAAUCAGAUUACUGUCAAAAUAAUUGGUGGAGCAAUCUUCUAUUUAUAAAUAACUAUGUAGAUGCCGAACAUCCAUGUGUUAUUCAAUCGUGGUAUUUGGCAUGUGACAUGCAAUUUUUUAUCGCCGGCAUUAUACUUGUUUAUUUUGUGUGGAAGUACCAAAGAUAUGGAGUAUACUUAAUGUGGAUUACGAUAUUUUUUUCAUGUUUAAUACCUGCUUGUAUCGUAUACACUCAUCAGUUUUAUCCGACAUUUUUUAGUUAUCUUUCGAUCUUAAACUAUCUACCCGAACAAAAAAGUUAUGUAAUGUUAUAUGUGCCUAGUCACACAAGAUCGACACCGUAUUUCGUGGGAAUAUUUGCUGCGUAUGUUUAUCGGUACUUGAAACUUGAUAAACCGAAGUUUCGUUUUCCGUACUCAAAAACUUUGAUAACGAUACUCAUUAUAAUUUAUCCGUUAUUUCUAAUGACCAUCCAAGUGUUUUAUGUCCAAAAAUACAAUUUAUGGCUAAGCGUUAUAUACACGUUCAUGUACCGAAUGGUGUUUGCUACUAUUAUUUCCAUAUUUAUUAUAAUAUGUGCUGUAAAUGGAUUAUUUAAAGGUAUAUGGUUACAAAUAUUUAUACCAUUAAGCAAAUUAACGUAUGGAGCAUAUUUGGGAGGACUAUCAAUACAAUUACUUCAAGUAGCAUCAAUGAAAUCACCGACAUACUUUAAUGAUAGCCUUUUGUUAUGGUUAGCAAUUGGAGAUAUCGUGUUUGGAUUCAUAUUUGCAUUUUUUUUGUAUACUUUAAUUGAAUCACCAUUCGAUAUAUUAUUAAAAAAAUUGGUUAUCAUCAUUAGCCCAAAAAUAACUUUUAAUAGUAAAAAAAUGACAAAUUCAACAGUUCCCAGGAAGAUAACUCUUAGAACACAUCGUUCUAGAUAAUGGAACUUGAUUAUAGGUAAUCAACUCGGACAAAUUGAAGUAUGGACAUUAAUUAAGAUUUCAACAGUUCCGUUCAUGCAAAUAAUCAAUAAAAUAUCUAUCUAUAAUAGUUUCGAUAUGCUCUUAUGUCGUAAUUCGAACAGAAAAUUCCCGACAGUUAACUCACGCCUGCAAAACGGACGUUUACGGUAUGUUGGUAUAUCAUUAUAUCAAUCAAUAGACAACACGAUUAAUGUCAAGUACGCAGACUUUUGUUCAGGAUUGAUAUUUAUUACACGAUCGUGUCCUGCGAAACGGAAUUAAACCAAUCACAACGAUGGUUCACAAAAAUAUUGUACGAUACGCUCGAAAUUUAUGUCCCGGACGGCUGGCCGACGUGUAAGCGGGAUGGACAGACUUAUCGCGAAGGAUUGAAGGAUCUCAGACUCAAAGUAUCUUUGUGCGCGGUCGAACGUUAAGAAUGCGAAAUUUCAAACACUUUGUACGGCCAGUGCAUAAUGCUUUAGCGAAGUUUUCAAC